rnacentral:rRNA from 1 species
UGCCGCUUGCGAGGGCGUAUGGUGGAUGCCUUGGCAGACAGUACCGAUGAAGGACGUUUGAGGAUGCGAUAAUCCUAGGGGAGCCUCCAACAUGGCUUUGAUCCUAGGGUCUCCGAAUGGGGGAACCCGCCGGCCGUCAUGGGCCGGCACCGCACGUUGUUGCGGGGGGUACGCAGGGAAGUGAAACAUCUCAGUACCUGCAGGAAGGGAUACUCCGUGAGUAGUGGCGAGCGAAAGCGGAUCAGACCAAACCGGUUGCGCGUGAUACCCGUCGGGGGUUGCGUUGCCGGUGUCGUGGGAUCACGUGUCCCGGUUCCGACGGGCCGGGCGGGAGUCAUAAAACGGCUUGCCAGGGGAACAGGCUUGAAGGCCUGGCCGCAGAGGGUGCCAGCCCCGUACCUGGAAGCUUGCCGUCUUCCGAUCAUGUGUCCCAAGUAGCGCGGGCCUCGUGGAAUCCCGCGUGAAUCAGCCCAGACCGUUGGGUAAGUCUAAGCAUACCUGUCUGACCGAUAGCGUACCAGUACCGUGAGGGAAAGGUGAAAAGCACCCCGGGAGGGGAGUGAAAGAGUUCCUGAAACCGUGCGCCUACAAUCCGUCGGAGCCUCCUUGUGGGGUGACGGCGUGCCUAUCGAAAAAUGAGUCUGCGAGUCAGUGGUGCGUGGCGAGGCUAACCCGUGGUGGGGGAGCCGUAGCGAAGGCGAGUCUCAAAAGGCGUUUUGAGUCGCGCGCCCUGGACCCGAAGCGGGAUGAUCUAGCCCUGGGCAGGUUGAAGCGCGGGUAAGACCGCGUGGAGGACCGAACCCACCUGGGUUGAAAACCGGGGGGAUGACCUGGGGCUAGGGGUGAAAGGCCAAUCAAAUUCCGUGAUAGCUGGUUCUCUCCGAAAUGCAUUUAGGUGCAGCGUCGGUUGAUUGCAUCGCGGGGGUAGAGCUACUGGAUGCUUGCGGGCCCGUAUGGGGUACCAAUAGCAGCCAAACUCCGAAUACCGUGGAUGUGUAUUCCGGCAGUGAGUCGGCGGGGGAUAAGCUCCGUCGUCGAGAGGGAGACAGCCCAGAUCGUCGUCUAAGGUCCCGAAGCGUGUGCUAAGUGGGAAAGGAUGUGGAGUCGCAUAGACAGCCAGGAGGUUGGCUCAGAAGCAGCCAUCCUUGAAAGAGUGCGUAACAGCUCACUGGUCUAGUGGUUCCGCGCCGACAAUGUAGCGGGGCUCAAGCACACCACCGAAGACGCGGCAGCGCAUUUGAUGCGCUGGGUAGGAGAGCGUCCUGCGAGGGGCGAAGCGGCGGUGGAAACCGGCCGUGGACUUCGUGGGAGUGAGAAUGCAGACAUGAGUAGCGAGAGACGGGUGAGGAUCCCGUCCGCUGGAUGACCAAGGGUUCCGGGGCCACGUUCGUCGUCCCCGGGUGAGUCGGGUCCUAAGGCGAGGCCGACAGGCGUAGUCGAAUGGAUGAACGGGUGGAUAUUCCCGUACCGACCAUGGACCGGCAAAACCGAGACGGUGAGUACUAACCUCCGCCUCGUGGUGGUUCCUUCCUUCGGGUUGGUAUCGCCGCGUGGUGUUGGGACCGUAGCCGCAGUAGGUCAGCGCAGGGGUGACACGGAAUGGGAGCCGGCCGCGGAGGUGGUUUUCCGUGGUCAAGCACGCAGCCAGUCAUGUAGGCAAAUCCGCAUGGCGCGCAUGGCGAGGUGUGAUGAUGGGAGCCGUUAUGGCUCGAUAUCCGGUUGUCCAGGCCGUCGAGAAAAGCCUCGGCGUGAGGGCCAUGGCCGCCCGUACCCCAAACCGACACUGGUGGUCAGGUAGAGAAUACCAAGGCGAUCGAGCGAAUCCUGGUCAAGGAACUCGGCAAAUCACUCCCGUGCCUUCGGUAUAAGGGAGACCCACUGGGGUGAAGGACCUUGCGUCCGGAGCUUUGGUGGGUGGCACAGACCAGGGGGUAGCGACUGUUUACCAAAAACACAGGUGCAUGCGAAGGCGCAAGCCGCUGUAUAUGCACUGACGCCUGCCCGGUGCCGGAAGGUUAAGAGGAUCCGUCAGCCCCUUUUGGGGUGAAGCGGUGAAUUCAAGCCCCGGUAAACGGCGGUGGUAACUAUAACCAUCCUAAGGUAGCGAAAUUCCUUGUCGGGUAAGUUCCGACCUGCACGAAUGGCGUA